UACGUAGGCAGCGAGCGUUGUUCGGAGUUACUGGGCGUAAAGGGUGCGUAGGCGGUUGUUUAAGUUUGGUGUGAAAUCUCCCGGCUCAACUGGGAGGGUGCGCCGAAUACUGAAUGACUUCGAGUGCGGGAGAGGAGAGUGGAAUUCCUGGUGUAGCGGUGAAAUGCGUAGAUAUCAGGAGGAACACCGGUGGUGUAGACGGCUCUCUGGACCGUAACUGACGCUGAGACACGAAAGCGUGGGUAGCAAACAGG
rnacentral:rRNA from 1 species